AUGCUGCAGCGGGCGGCGAGCAACGCCUACUCGUGGUGGUGGGCGAGCCACAUCCGCACCACCCAGUCCAAGUGGCUCGACGCAAACCUACAAGAUGUCGAAAACAGGGUCAAGAUCAUGCUCAAGCUCCUCGGCGAGGAAGCCGAUUCGUUCGGCAAGAGGGCUGAGAUGUACUACCGCAGGAGGCCGGAGGUCAUAAACCACGUCGAAGACGUGUACAGGGCCUACAGGGCUCUUGUUGAGCGCUAUGACCACUUGUCCAAGGAGCUGCAUAAGGCCAACCACACCAUCGCCACUGCUUGUCCAGAGGAAGUGCAGUAUGCCAUGUUGGAGGAGGAGGAUGACAAUUUCCCGAGAGCAAUCAUGCCCAUCAACUCGCGCAAGAUACAGAAAUCGACCGUGGAUGACAUUCUCAAGAGAAAAAGAGAAGGGACUCCCGGGCGUAACAGGACAGUGCAUGAGAAGCCUGAUCCUAAUAUGAGCAAAGAUAAGGCCGAAGCAGAGAUUGGCAGGCUGCAAAAGGCUAUACUUGUCAUGCAGACUGAGAAAGAAUUCGUUAAGAGUUCUUAUGAGAGUGGAAUUGCCAAGUAUUGGGAGAUCGAGAAGCAGAUUGCCGAUAUGCAGGAGGAAAUUUGCCACAUGCAAGAUGAAUUUGACGCGCAUGCAGCCAUUGAUGAUGAUGAAGCCCGUGCCUUGAUGACGAUAGCGGCUCUUAGGUCAUGUCAGGGUACCGUUGCUAAGCUUGUGGAAAAGUUCGAGGAGUUGAUUAGGAGUGCAAAGAUGGAGUCAGAAAAAAUAGUGUCUCUUCGAGAAAGGUUUUAUGCUUUGAGCAGAAUUAUUGACCCGUCUAAAGAAGAAGUUGACAGCGCAAACAUGACAGCGAAUGACAGAGUUUAUCCCAUUACUCAGGAAAUACUCGAGUUACAGACUAUAUAUGAUAAAAUCGAGGACUUCUUUGGAAACAAUUCGGAAACCUCUGUGGAGGAGAUGGCAUAUAAAGUUGAUGAACUUGUUGAUAAGAUCAUUAACUUGGAGCUGAAGUUCCCGAAGCACUCUGCACAAAUCAAGCAAUUGAAAGAAGAGAAUGAGAAGAUCAACAACAAACUAGACGAUUUACAAGAUGAGAUGGCACUCCGUGAUGAUCCAAGCGACUCAAGUGAAGAGCUCAAGCUAGUGGAAGAUGAAUUGAACAGAACCAGGGCUCUUGAAGGAUCUAUAAUCGAGGAAGAAGUUCUUGUUAGCACAGCAUUUUCUGAAGUUUUUACUUGCAUAACUAAUAUAUCAAAGGCAUUUGUACCAAUUGGUGCUGAAGACCUGCCUGAGUUGUCAGCUGCAGCUGGAGACAAGGCAACACUGUCUGAAGAUGUAUCCAUGGAAAAUGGUACAACAGAGAACAGCAAAACGGAUGGAGGAGAAAUCAGUGGUAUACAGGCGCCAGCUACAGGUGAUAAUUUGGGCAGACAUAGUCCCCAAAAUCAAGAUGACUCAGAAGUUGUUGAUCACAAUUCAUCAGGUAGUACUGAUGGUGUCCAUGACUCCAAGAAUGGUGCCAAGGAAAGCAUUCUGAUGGGGAAUUGCUUGCAGGAAGAAUUCAGAGAUAAUGAUUCACUACAAGCUGGCAACCAUGUUGAUCUGAUUGUUGGUCCAGACAAUGAAAAUAGUCUCAACAAGCUGGCAACAGAUAGCUCAUCAAAAGAAGUAGACCAGAGUUCAUCAGGUGGUAUGAACGUUGCUCAAGGGCAAAUUGUGGAAGGUGAACAUUCACCAACUGCAGUCAGUCAGAAUGAUCUCCUUCCCUCACAAAGCCCCAAUGAAGAAGGGUCGUCAGUGGAAAUUGCUGAGAGUUCAUUUGGUGGUGACAACAGAACCCAAGACUUGAAGAUUGAUGGUGAUGAAAAUCCUGUUCCCGGGAACAGCUUGAAGACCCAGGAGGAAGGAUUUGGAGUUGGAGAUGGCGAAUCACCAAAAGCAAUCGCUGAGAUUAGUUUAGCUGGUUCUGCAAACUUUGAUAGUUUCGGUGAAGAAGGUACGACAGGGGAAAAUACGUCGCCCGAAGGUGCUCAUAGUUCCAGUGAUGAAGGUAAGAACCUGGACUUGUGCCAUGCGGAUGAAGCAAAAUCAGGUGAAGAGUUGCCAAAGCAAGGUGGCCAACUUGUUUCUCCAGUAAACAUCAUCCUAGGUUUGAACAAACACGGCGAAGUCGAAUCAUCUGAUGAAGGUGUUCAAAAAAAUUCACUUGGUCAUGUGAAUGCAUAUUCCUCGGAGGUGAGAGAUGAAACCUCUCUCUCUGUACUGGCUAGAGAUUCUGAGGAAACCAGAGGAGCGUAUCCGGUAAUAUCAGAAGUACCAACAGAUUCAGAAGAUAUGGUCAAUCACACUUCUGAUAGUCAACUCGAAAACAAAGAACCAAAUGUCAAAAUGCUUGCAAGCAAAGAAAAUAUCUUGAACAACCAUGGAAGCAGUAGCGGGCAUGAAAAGUUCACUUCUAUUUCACAAGAAGAUGCACAGAGCGGGCUUGAGGGAAGAGACGCGAUAUUGCUUGCCGACUACACUGCAGUUCUCCGGAACUACAAAGAAACUAAGAGAAGGCUUGCUGAGUUGGAAAAGAAAAACCAGGAACAUCUUGAAGACACAAAGGCAGUAAUAAGGGAAUUGAGGAAUGCAAAUUCAAUGAAAUAUGUUGAGAUCCAAUCACUCAAAGGCCAACUGGACUCUUCAGAGACACCACCCAGUAAAAUGGGUGCUGAUAGAUCAGAUCAACCUUUGGUCAGAGAACUUUCAAUUGUGAAGGAAACCGAUUCGAGCUACACUGGUGCACCUGAGAGUGCUUCAGCAGUUGAAAUCAAAUUCAGGACUGAAAUCGACGAGCUGGUCGACGAAAACCUGCGGUUCUUGACAAGGUACAGCAUGGCUUGCCACCAGGUGCAGGACUUCAACAGCAGGUAUCAGGAGCUACAGAAUGAAAUGGAGAGUUCUGAAAAUAAGAAAAGGGGAGAACUUGAUGCUGCGGCGGAGCCUGAACCUGCUGAGAAGAAAUUGAGAGAGCUCAGGACUGAAGUGGAUGUAUGGUUUGAGCAGAAUGUACUUCUUGACCGGGACCUGCAGCUCAAAACCGCAUCUCUUUGCGGCCUGCAAGAGGAGAUAGCCGAAGCCCUGCGGUCCAGCACGGAGGCUGAUGGCGCCAAGUUUAUGCCAUAUGAAGCAGCCAAGUUCCAAGGGGAGGUACGCAACAUGCAGCAAUCCAACAAGAAGAUCGAGAGUGAGCUGCAGGCGGCGUUGGAGCGCAUGAGGGAGCUCGAAGGCGAGGUGAACGUCACCUUGCGGAAGCUGAGGGAGAGCUUCGAGCUCUCGUCCAGGCGCUCGUCCCGCCGGGGGGAGGCGGACAGCAGCUACCAAAACCAAUUCAAGCAUUUCCCGAGCAGACACAGAGUGCCGCUGCGGAACUUCCUGUUCGGUACGAAACCAAAGAAGAAGUCGCUGUUUGCCUGCAUCAAUCCCACAUACCAGAGACAGUUCAGCGAUUUUUGA
rnacentral:rRNA from 1 species